GGGUCUGUAGUUCUAAUGGGAGAACGCCUGUUUUGCACACAGGAGGUUGCGGGUUCGACCCCCGCCAGAUCCA
rnacentral:tRNA from 2 species